UACGUAGGGUGCGAGCGUUAAUCGGAAUUACUGGGCGUAAAGUGUGCGCAGGUGGCUGAGCAAGUCGAGUGUGAAAUCCCCGGGCUUAACUUGGGAAUUGCGCUCGAAACUACUUGGCUCGAGUGUGGCAGAGGAAGGUGGAAUUCCAGGUGUAGCGGUGAAAUGCGUAGAUAUCUGGAGGAACACCGGUGGCGAAGGCGGCAUCCUGGACCAAUAUUGACGCUGAGGAGCGAAAGCCAGGGGAGCAAACGGG
rnacentral:rRNA from 1 species